UACGGACAUAUCACGUUAAAAUACCAGUUCUCGUUCGAUCACCGAAGUUAAGCAACGUCGAGCCUGGUCAGUACCUAAACGAGUGACCGCUUGGGAAUACCAAGUGUUGUAAU